UGGGGAAUUUUGGACAAUGGGCGAAAGCCUGAUCCAGCAAUGCCGCGUGUGUGAAGAAGGCCUUCGGGUUGUAAAGCACUUUUGUCCGGAAAGAAAUCCUUGGCUCUAAUACAGUCGGGGGAUGACGGUACCGGAAGAAUAAGCACCGGCUAACUACGUGCCAGCAGCCGCGGUAAUACGUAGGGUGCAAGCGUUAAUCGGAAUUACUGGGCGUAAAGCGUGCGCAGGCGGUUUGCUAAGACCGAUGUGAAAUCCCCGGGCUCAACCUGGGAACUGCAUUGGUGACUGGCAGGCUAGAGUAUGGCAGAGGGGGGUAGAAUUCCACGUGUAGCAGUGAAAUGCGUAGAGAUGUGGAGGAAUACCGAUGGCGAAGGCAGCCCCCUGGGCCAAUACUGACGCUCAUGCACGAAGCGUGGGGAGCAAACAGGAUUAGAUACCCUGGUAGUCCACGCCCUAAACGAUGUCAACUAGUUGUUGGGGAUUCAUUUCCUUAGUAACGUAGCUAACGCGUGAAGUUGACCGCCUGGGGAGUACGGUCGCAAGAUUAAACUCAAUGAAUUGACGGGGUCAUAGCUG
rnacentral:rRNA from 1 species